rnacentral:rRNA from 1 species
UGGGGAAUAUUGGACAGUGGUCGCAAGACUGAUCCAGCCAUGCCGCGUGCAGGAAGACGGCCCUAUGGGUUGUAAACUGCUUUUGUACCAGAGAAAACCUAUCUACGUGUAGAUAGCUGAUAGUAUGGUAAGAAUAAGCAUCGGCUAACUUCGUGCCAGCAGCCGCGGUAAGACGAAGGAUGCAAGCGUUAUCCGGAUUCAUUGGGUUUAAAGGGUGCGUAGGCGGGCUUGUAAGUCAGUGGUGAAAUCUCUCAGCUUAACUGAGAAACUGCCAUUGAUACUGCAGGACUAGAGUAUAGAUGACGUUGGCGGAAUAUGACAUGUAGUGGUGAAAUACUUAGAUAUGUCAUAGAACACCGAUUGCGAAGGCAGCUAACGAAACUAUAACUGACGCUGAGGCACGAAAGUGCGGGGAUCAAACA